rnacentral:rRNA from 1 species
UCUAGAAAGAUCCUACGGGGGGCUGCAGUCGAGGAUCUUCGGCAAUGGGCGCAAGCCUGACCGAGCGACGCCGCGUGUGCGAUGAAGGCCUUCGGGUUGUAAAGCACUGUCGAGGGGGAGGAAGCCGCAAGGUUGACCUAUCCCUGGAGGAAGCACGGGCUAAGUUCGUGCCAGCAGCCGCGGUAAGACGAACCGUGCGAACGUUGUUCGGAAUCACUGGGCUUAAAGGGCGCGUAGGCGGGCAUUCAAGUCCGGGGUGAAAGCCCCCAGCUCAACUGGGGAAGUGCCUUGGAAACUGGAUGUCUUGAGGGAGGUAGGGGCAUGUGGAACUUCGGGUGGAGCGGUGAAAUGCGUUGAUAUCCGAAGGAACGCCGGUGGCGAAAGCGACGUGCUGGAUCUCUUCUGACGCUGAGGCGCGAAAGCUAGGGAAGCAAACGGGAUUAGAUACCCUUGUAGUC